AUGGCUACAAGGCUCCUCUGCUACACAGCCCUUUGUCUCCUGGGAACAGGCUCUUUUAAUGUCAAAGUCAUCCAGACUCCAAGAUACUUGGUCAAAGAGAAAGAGUGGAAAGCAAAGAUGAGCUGUUACCCUGAAAAGGGGCAUGCUGUUGUUUUCUGGUAUCAACAGAAUAAGAACAAUGAGUUUACAUUUUUGAUUAGCUUUCAGAAUCAAGAGGUUCUUCAACAAACAGACAUGGUCAAGAAACGAUUUUUAGCUGAGUGUCCUUCAAAUUCACCCUGCAGCCUGGAAAUCCAGUCCUCUGAGGCAGGAGACUCAGCACUGUACCUCUGUGCCAGCAGUCUGUCCACAGCGCUGAAAUAUGCAUUCCCCUCAGAGCACAAACCCUUCACGGAGCCAACCCAGGAAGCAGGUGCUGCUCUGGGUUGGAAGGAAGUAACAGAAAUGAACUGGAAUGAGUGUCAAUCACAGCAGAUUUCAUACUAA